rnacentral:rRNA from 1 species
AGCGAACGCUGGCGGCAGGCCUAACACAUGCAAGUCGAACGAACUCUUCGGAGUUAGUGGCGGAUGGGUGUGUAACACGUCGGAACGUUCCUUUAGGUUCGGAAUACCUCUGGUACAUUUGAGCUAAUACCGGAUGUGCCCUUCUGGGGAAUGAUUUAUCGCCUUUGGAGGCGCCCGCGUCUGAUUAGCUUGUUGGUGAGGUAAAGGCUCACGACGGCGACGAUCAGUAGCUGGUUAGAGAGGAUGAUCAGCCACAUUGAGACUGUGAAACGGCCGAAACUCCUACGGGAGGGAGCAAUGGGGGAUCUAGCGCAAUGGGCGAAAGGCUGACGCAGCCAUGCCGCGUGAAUGAUGAAGGUCGUAGGAUAGUAAAAUUCUUUCACCGGGGACGAUAAUGACGGUACCCGGAGAAGAAGCCCCGGCUAACUUCGUG